rnacentral:piRNA from 1 species
UUGCUGGCUCAAUGGGCUGUAGCCUAGAAU